UGAAAAGUCUCACUGGCAAAACACAAGAUCCCAAGAGUGCUGCUUGUAUAAAGUGCAUCAUUUUAUAUUUUACUGUAUAAAAUAUACAGUGAUCAACUAAAAGAGAAUAUAAAUCAACUUCAGGGUGAUAACAGUGACUCCACAGUCGGUUUUAUGCAUUACACAUUCAUGUUCACACUGUAAACAUUCUGUGCAGUGGUGUAUUUAUAGACGCUUCAUUUGUUCAUUGUUUCCCAGAAACGCAGCCUGAGCCCUAAAAGUGAAAGUAAAAGUACCAGAUAAAAAACAAGCUGUGGUUUUCAUUUUGUCCACCAACGAAUUCAGUCCAGAGCGUGUAACUCGGCUGAGAUCCCCCUUCAAAAUGACCCAAGCGAUAAUCAGAUUUUUUGUCAUGGUCCUUGGGAACACCAUGAAUUCCCACAAGACCUUCAUGGAGCGUCUGACAAUUUCACAAAAACUUCGUGAAGUGAAGUCGGUGAACAACAGUGAUGUCAUCAUUGCUUUUGUCCCACGUGUAACUCGGCUGAGAUCCCCCUUCAAAAUGACCCAAGCGAUAAUCAGAGUUUUUGUCAAGGUCCUUGGGAACACCAUGAAUUCCCACAAGACCUUCAUGGAGCGUCUGACAAUUUCACAAAAACUUCGUGAAGUGAAUUCGGUGAACGACAGUGAUGUCAUCAUUGCUUUUGUCCCAAUUGUGUCUCGAGCUGGAACUGACAUUGGAGCUGCAAUGGCCAAAAUUCCUCAGGGUAAGCCUGUCGUUCUCGUGGUGCUCCACCACACAUUCGAUCAGGAUUACAUCGCUCCGGACAGCAGACUCUGUGUGAACAGGAAGGAUGUGUUUGCUGUAGAUUGUCUCUAUCAUGAAGACCAAGGUCUGCUGAAUUGCCUGCGCAAUGACGACGCGAUCAGAGCCGUGAAGAAGCACCUGAGAUGCGACGACCACAUUGAGGACGACUCCAGCUGUGCAAGCUGUGUUGGGCUCAAACUACGUAAAUCCGAUGCAGAAACUGGGGGGGCGAUCCACCCUCAAUUUCCAAGCCAUGGUGCGUCACACGCCCCUGCUGACUUCCGAAGUUACAACAACGUAAAUAUGAUGCAGAAACUGGGGGGGCGAUCCACCCUCAAUUUCCAAGGCAUGGUGCGUCACAGAUGUAUCAGGAUAUUGCUUGUUCUGGGCAUUUUCCUGGCGAUUGGUGUGGGUAUUGGUGUGGGUUUUGGUGUGGGAAUCGGUGCGGGUUUUGGAGUGGGUAUUGUUGUGUUUUGUGUUGUAGUCAUGCUUGUGAUUGUUACCUGGGUUAAAAGCUUUCAAAACCGUUUACCAUGAAUGCAGACUUCAAUACACUGGAACAGAC
ensembl:lncRNA